rnacentral:rRNA from 1 species
CAUCGAUGAAGAACGCAGCGAAAUGCGAUAAGUAAUGUGAAUUGCAGAAUUCAGUGAAUCAUCGAAUCUUUGAACGCACAUUGCGCCCGUCAGUAUUCUGGCGGGCAUGCCUGUUCGAGCGUCAUUUCAACCAUCAAGCCCCCAGGCUUGUGUUGGGGCACUGCGGCUGCCGCAGGCCCCUAAAAGCAGUGGCGGACUCGCUGUCAUACCGAGCGCAGUAACAUAUCUCGCUCAGGGCGUGGCGGCGGGCACCGGCCGUAAAACACACCAAACCUAAGGUUGACCUCGGAUCAGGUAGGAAUACCCGCUGAACUUAAGCAUAUCAAUAAGCGGAGGA